CAGGAAUCUGGGUAUGACCAUCUUUGAGGAUGGGGAAGGACUUUUGUCUCUGAAGAAUCCAGCUCAUGGAGUCACUUGGUCAAUUCCCAUUUGCACCCAGCAAAGACCAUGGAGAUGUCGAAUGGUAUAAAAAGGGAUGAACCAUCACAAGACUGGGAUUAGAAAGUGUGGGGAGCAAGCACUCAGGGAGAUGGCUGAUGCAGCUCUUAUUCCCUGGCCCUGGGCUGUGGCUCAGCUCUUGCUCCUGGCACAAGUGACCAGAGGCCAGAGAAACAUGGUGGGGACUGAUUCUGUCUUGGCUACUCCUCAUCAGUGCUUUGAGCUGCAUGAAGCCCUGAGAACCAAGGCAAAACGAGUGCACAACCAGGGAUUUGCUCUUCUCAUGGUCCACACCCUAAGCACAGCACAAAGUUCCACCCUCUACUUCUGCAGCCUGUGAAGCCUUGGGAAAUGAUCUACACAAAAGAACAAGACGUAAAAGCUGCCUCUGCCAUCUUCUGUUUAAUUAACAUAGGUAUACCAAUUUGAUGCAAUUAAUCAAGAUAGGAGGGAUUAAACAGUAACUCAGCUGACAAUGACAGCGUUAGCAUGGCUGUGGCAUAAGAAGGGCUGCAAAAUGAGAGUGGUGACUGGGAACACUGUGAGGAAGUGUAAGCUGGCUGAAGUUUUGGGAGGUUUAUGCAGAUGUACUGAAAUUUAGGGGCAGCUGAUUCUUCAUGUGGCCAAGUGUUUAUCUGCCCCUGCCCUUUCCUUUACCCUCUCAGACCUUCCAGGGUAAUCCCCAGAGUGGCAACAACUUUUAAAGCGAUUCCUCUUUCUUCUAACAGAUUCCUGAUGCUAAAGGUCUGACCUUAAAAUGAGCAGUGCAUAGGGCAAGAGUGGGUACUGCAGUGAGCUUCUGGCCUUCAACCCUUCCAAAUACAGCUAUUUUGGUAACCAGAACACUAUAUUCAUGAUGGGUGAGGGAACAGAGCCUUCCAGUGCAGGGCUUCUCAGCACAUUAACUCUAUCAGUGCUGGAUUCUUGGUCCCUAUGCAAGUUUGCCUGUGCCUAUUUAAGACCAUAAAUGCAGCUUUGCAGAGGUCUGCUGCAUUCUGUAACUUCAUGGUUGUGCUUUACUGCCUGAUGCACCUGAAAACCGGACUGAAUCCUGUGGAUUUCCAUGUGGGUCUGGGAAGGACUGUAAUCACAUGCAGCUCAGACUUGGAUUUCUUCUUGGCAGGAGAGGCACAGCCUGGUUUGCUACAAUGCAACUGUCCUCAUUAAUGUUCUUCAAGCCCUGAUGUACUGGGACCGCCAUCGUUGGGUCAGAAGAUGGCUGAGUUUUCCAGGCUCAUUCUCUUGUCUUCAGAAUGUUAAAUUGGGUGAUAAUGAGUAGUAACUGUGUCCUUUUUUAUGGUGAAGUUGACACUUGCCUUCUAGUAAACAGACACAGAGAUGACCCUCCUCAUUUCGCACAGGUCACCAAACAGCCCUGGAGUGGUAGGGGUUAUUGGCCAUUUACCAAACUCUGUUUGACUUGGGUUCAUGGGUGAGAGAUGAAAGGCUCUAUAUUGCAUUACCAAUCCCUGGGGCCAGCCAGUCUCCCUAAAGAAGCGUUUCAUUUAGCAAGGCAACUGCUGGCCAUGGGAAUCGGAGACUUGGGAAAAAGAGGACACAGUUUCAAUUGCAAACGUUUCCUUAGGGCAGAUGUCUUAAAGCCACACAGAAGCUCACUGCUUCACUGUCACAAUAGUUGCUCCAGGACACUUAAUGACCAGCAGAUUUUCCCCUUUAAUUAAUCUCCCCUUUUCCCAAGAAAACAUCCCUUAGGUUCCUUGUGGUGUUUCUGCCUCUGCCCUGCUGUUUUGUCCAUCUCCUUGGGGCAGGACCAGUGCAGCACUUGUGAACUGUUACAUUUCCCAAGAGCUUCAAAAUUGAAACAGAUGAAUCAAGUAGCCCUGGUAUCACACUUAGAGGUGUUGGGCUCUUGUGAGGAGAAAUGAGUAUUCCUGAAGUGUCCAAAUAUUUUCCUUACCCCAGAGCAAAGAAGCUGACUGAUUUUCUUGGUUAUAGUAGAGUGGUCAUUGCUAUUGGGGUAGUCCAAGUGCUGCCUUUUUACAGAUAAUGGUUUCAGUGAUUGAUGGCUUCAGGAAGAAGAAUAUCUGGUUCAGAACAAGAAUUGAACCCAGACUUGCCCUGAAUUUCCUAUGAUAUGAAAAUCCAGUGUUGUUCCGAAUUCCUAAUCACUGAUUAAAAUCCUCUUUCACUUUCCUCCCUUACUGUCUGUGAUGUGACUCAUGAGACAUUCAGAAGUUGCACUUGUUGUUUGAUAGUUUUACAUCAUGGUUGUAAUAGUGCAUCUACCAAGUCAGCAGGUUUUUUUCUGCAUUUGUUUAUUUAUUUACCACUCCAUUUCCAGCAAGUUCUUGUUACCCAGUUCCCACUGACAACAGGGGAAGAGGCACAGGUCAGCUCAGAAAAUGAACGACUAGAAGGUAAGUGAAAAGAAUAGUAAAUGCAGGCCAUUCAUGUAACAGGAUCCAAUUCAUUUUUAUGCCAGGGAGAUUUUUUAAAUGGGCCUUCUCCCAGUGGAGAGCUCACAAUGCUCAAGGCCUGUUUCACUAUAAAGACAAUACAUAAUUAUUCUGGGCUUAUUAUUAUUUUUUAUCACUCCUUUUCCAGUCGCAGGGAGUGAGGGCAGAGAUGAGAUCAGGACCCAGUUUAUUGCUGUGCUGGCUGUGCAGCACACAGGGCUGCAGGACCCUGUGGAGUAACAGGUAAAUACACCCAGGCUGAAGGUUCAGGUGACAGGUCUGAGAUGGGAGAAUCCAUCAACAGCAAAAAUGGGAACUCAGCCUCCUGAGGCCUUCAGCUCUGGGCUCCUGCUGCUUGCUGCUUUCAGCAUCUUUUCUUUUCACACUUAUUUUGAAUCGCCGAAAUGAUGAAUUGAAAAAGUGCCAUAUCAUUUGAAGCACUCUUUAUUGUGUUUAUAGGAAACAGAUUAUCUGUUCUCUCUGGAUAGUGGAAACUGAGUAUGAUGAACUCAUCUGGAGAAAAUGUAGGUUGGGUGUGACAGAGAAACUUGUGUUUUAUACCACAGUGACAUCUUAAUUUCUGGUUUUAGUAUGACAGACUCAGUGAUACUGAACCAUCCUGGUUCCUGCUUUCAGGCUGGGGUCACGAGUUGGACUUGGAAGAAGAAACUUCCAUGCAGAGAUGUGACUGCAGCGUGAAUACUGUGCCAGGGUAAGAGAGAUUUUGUUUAAUUUGGGGUUUAUACAAUAUGUAAAGUCCAUACAAAGUCUGUUGCUCACCCCAGCCUAGUUAAACUGCGUUUGACCACUACUUGUUGAACCCAGUAAAGUGUGUACCACAACAACACCUGCUCUAGUUAUAUGUUGUUUUGCCAGGUCAGCCCUUUAGAAUUUAACAUUUAAUUCAUAAAGGAUUCUAUAACACAUGCCCAGUUGUGCUCUAUCUCUACUUCCUGAUGAUUUGGGUGAUUUUCUCUCCCCAGUUAAUAUUUUAAUUAGUUGUAACACUUCUUUGCUUUCUAAUUUGAACAACUGAGACUCAAAAAAAAAAAAAAAAAAAGCUAAAAAAUAACUCUCAGAGUCUGAAUGGAUACUCCUUAGAAUUUUCUCUUCAGUACUUGCAGGUCCUGGGUUAGGUGACAUUUCAUGUUGACUGCUCUGUGUUAGUUCUGCUCAGGCAGAAGGUAGUGACAGUGUUAUAGGUUUCUUUAGAGAUAAAACCUACAGAGUGUCCUAAAGUCCAGUAACAAUUCAAUACCAGCAACUUCCAUCCCCCUCUGUGCUCCUACCAUUGCUUUGAACCAAUUUAUUUAUUCAUUUAGACUUUAAGUACUCAGAUGCAUUCUGUCUUGCUGCAGCAGCAGGGGUACAGGAAGGGUGUUUGAAACCACGCAGUCAUUUCCACCCUGGAUUUCAUGAGGAGUUAUUCUUGUCUCAGAGAAUGACGCAUUCAAAUAUCCCUCUAUGGAUUCCAGGUGAGUUAGUCACAUUUAGAUGCUUCCAAGUAAUACACAGAAAGGUGCUGAGAAAAUGAUGAGUCUCUGCCUAGUCACAAAAAAAAAAAAAAAAAGCUCAGAAAAAGUAGAUCUGAGCAAAUUACAUGUACUAGCCCUCAAAAUAUUCUAAAAAGGCCUGGGGUCAAAGAGGUUUUACCUUAAAAACAGUAGGGAUGCACAGUAUUUACUUUACUGACUGACCCAUCAGCUGCUCUCUGUCCCCAGAAACAGUUCAGGAAAUAACUGGAAGCAUCUGAAGACAUAAAAAGGAUAAUUAAGUUUCAUUGUGGAAAUAAGAGGGUAAUCUGUCCAGACAAAUCUAGGACCUAGUACUGAGAGCCGUAGGAUCUGAAUAUAAAAAAAGGAGUAAUUUUGGAAAAAGAUGUCUAUCAGGACUGUAAAUUCAGAGAGUAAAAAAGUAGCUUUGCUUAAUAGACCAUCUCUCUCUCCAUCUCCCUCUAACUCAUUUUCUUAUUCUCUUUCUUCCUUUUGUGCAAUUGCAAAAAAAAAUAUGUGCAAAAUCUGAUAUUGAGAAUACUUUAGCUUCAUUUCAAUCUUCUAUUCUCCAAAUGUUUUGUUCCAACUGGGAAGAUUCCCCUGGGAGAUAACCUCAGCCAUGGCUGCACGAGGCUUGUGGGGUGGCUGAUUUGCAAAGGAACAACUGUGUUUUGAGGUGUCUCUGAAGCAGCCAGGUCCCCUCUCUUCUGAGGCUCUUAAAGAUAUUUGUGAGCUGGCACGAGAAAUCACCUGGGACUCAGAGCAGACCACAAGUGCUUAGGACAGUGUUUUCUCUUCACCUUUUUUUGCUGAGCAGAAUUGCAGUGCUAUAAACAAAUGUGAGUUUUGCCUCAUUCUUAGGUCCUGUGAGUUAUGAAAGCCCACUCCAGUUGUAAUGAAUGUAUAGAUCAUUUUGACCAGAUCAUAAUCUAUUAGUAAAUAAUGCUCUCUGAAAAUGUAUAGGUGAAAUAAAGAACUUCUUGCUACUAUUGCUGUGUUGGUAUCAAGGAUUACUGUGGAGGCCAACACAAUCCUGAGGCUUUGUGCUGCUGACAUUUAAAUAGAAUGCAGAAUUAACUACAGGGUUUGGUUAGCAAAUUCCCUUUUGGAUUAGAAUAUUCAGGAUUUACACUGCUGGAAACAGAACCCAAAACUUUACAAACCCUGUGCCUUGGCUUCAGCUCAUUGACACCCUCACUCGUAUUUAUGGAAUUUUUCCGUUAGAUUCCUAAUUUUGGUGGUGAUAUUAAUUAGCAAAUCACACAACACUUUUCAGAAUGAGUAGAGGCUGAUAGAGCAAACCCCCAUAACACCUAUGACUUUUCUUCACUCUCCCUGGAGGAAACCCAAGGGUAGCAGACUAAGACCUAAGGCAAUUGUCAGCACAGUCUAUAGGCCAUGGGAAGGUUAGGUUUAAAGAAGAUGUCACUUUAGGGACAUCUGUGUGACACAUGCUGCAGUGUCCAGACAUUGGAGACUAUGUUUUUACUCUAAAUCUAGAGAGGAAGUCACUAGGAAAAAAAAGGGAAAGAAGCACGGGGGAAUAAAAGUACUUUUGAAAGAGAAGAAAUCUACAUUUCAAUGAAAAUCCUUUCAAGGCAUUUCAAAUAAGAGUCUGAGAGAAAUAAUUACAAAGUUUGGAGAGAAAGAACGUUAGCUUUGAUAUCUUUUUCUUCUAUGAAGCAAUUAAAAUAAGCAAUUUUUCAAAUACUAAGCAGAAAAUUACUAAUGGCUGAACCCAAAAGCUUUCAUUUCCUUCUUGGGGCCUUUAUUCUUCUAAAAAAAGACAAAAAAAAUGUGAAGGUGGUUUUCCAGAUAGAUUAAUGCAUAAAGCAGUCGCUAGUUGGAUGUCAUAAAAACUACAGCAGCAUAGAAUAGCUGAGAUUAAGAGCUAGAUUUAAAUCAUGCAACAGUCCAGUUAAUAUCAAUGUCUAAUUAAGAAAUGCAUAAGAAGUCUGUAAUGUUGAUUUGAUGGAGAAAAACUCUAAUAGGGUUUCUUUUGGAAUUUUCCAUUUCAAUUGCUGUGUAGACUUUUAAUGGAUGUUCUAUCCAGUCUUUGGUAUUAGCAGGAAUCAUCCUCAAAUUAAAACCAAGGCCUAAAAUGGGACACAGGUAGACAAAUUAGCUGGUCUGGGAAGCAGCCUGGGUAGAAUGACAAUGUGAGCUGAAGCCGAAAUUUUAGUGCAAAUAAAAGAGAACAAGCAUCUGAAAUCUGGCGUGGAAACCCUCUCUGCCUCUCGUUUGAAACAAUCUAAAACCCUGUAAUUUGAAACAAUGCGAUGUUAACCCAUUUCCCCACCUCCCUAUGCCUGCAGAAAUCCCUGACAAUUCAUACUUAGACACCUAGACCACUAAGCAUUAUUAAUUAGUCUUUUUUAUUUAAAAGACUACUAAU